AGUGAAAGAGGGAGGGAGAGGGAACACAUGCAAGUCGAACGGCAGCACAGUAAGAGCUUGCUCUUACGGGUGGCGAGUGGCGGACGGGUGAGGAAUACAUCGGAAUCUACUUUUUCGUGGGGGAUAACGUAGGGAAACUUACGCUAAUACCGCAUACGACCUACGGGUGAAAGCAGGGGAUCUUCGGACCUUGCGCGAUUGAAUGAGCCGAUGUCGGAUUAGCUAGUUGGCGGGGUAAAGGCCCACCAAGGCGACGAUCCGUAGCUGGUCUGAGAGGAUGAUCAGCCACACUGGAACUGAGACACGGUCCAGACUCCUACGGGAGGCAGCAGUGGGGAAUAUUGGACAAUGGGCGCAAGCCUGAUCCAGCCAUACCGCGUGGGUGAAGAAGGCCUUCGGGUUGUAAAGCCCUUUUGUUGGGAAAGAAAAGCAGCAGGUUAAUACCCCGCUGUUCUGACGGUACCCAAAGAAUAAGCACCGGCUAACUUCGUU
rnacentral:rRNA from 1 species